UACAGAGGUCCCAAGCGUUGUUCGGAUUCAUUGGGCGUAAAGGGUGCGUAGGUGGCGUCGUAAGUCGGGUGUGAAAUCUCGGGGCUUAACUCCGAAACUGCAUUCGAUACUGCGGUGCUUGAGGACUGGAGAGGAGACUGGAAUUUACGGUGUAGCAGUGAAAUGCGUAGAGAUCGUAAGGAAGACCAGUGGCGAAGGCGGCCUUCUGGACCAAUACUGACGCUCAUGCACGAAAGCGUGGGGAGCAAACAGG
rnacentral:rRNA from 1 species